rnacentral:sRNA from 1 species
AUCCAGCCCCGAUAGAAGUGGUAUCCUUUUUUGCUUUUUAUGCAAAAAAGAUAUAACGGAUAGCGGGACAAAAG